AUUGAACGCUGGCGGCGUGCUUAACAUAUGCAAGUCGAUCGGUAACAGGUGUAGCAAUACAUGCUGACGAGAGGCGGACGGGUGAGUAAUGCUUGGGAAUCUGCCUAUUAGUGGGGGACGAACCCGGGGAAACGUACGGGCGUAAUACCGCAUACGCUCUACGGAGGAAAGCCGGGGACCGCAAGGCCUGGCGCUAAUAGAUGAGCCCAAGUCGGAUUAGCUAGUUGGUAGGGUAACGGCCUACCAAGGCGACAAUCCGUAGCUGGUCUGAGAGGACGACCAGCCACACCGGAACUGAGACACGGUCCGGACUCCUACGGGAGGCAGCAGUGGGGAAGUCUUGCGCAAUGGGCGAAAGACCUGACGCAGCGACGCCGCGUGAGGGA
rnacentral:rRNA from 1 species